rnacentral:rRNA from 1 species
AUUGAACGCUGGCGGCAUGCCUUACACAUGCAAGUCGAACGGCAGCACGGGAGCAAUCCCUGGUGGCGAGUGGCGAACGGGUGAGUAAUAUAUCGGAACGUGCCCAGUAGUGGGGGAUAACUGCUCGAAAGAGCAGCUAAUACCGCAUGCGACCUGAGGGUGAAAGGGGGGGAUCGCAAGACCUCUCGCUAUUGGAGCGGCCGAUAUCAGAUUAGCUAGUUGGUGGGGUAAAGGCCUACCAAGGCAACGAUCUGUAGUUGGUCUGAGAGGACGACCAGCCACACUGGGACUGAGACACGGCCCAGACUCCUACGGGAGGCAGCAGUGGGGAAUAUUGGACAAUGGGCGAAAGCCUGAUCCAGCAAUGCCGCGUGAGUGAUGAAGGCCCUAGGGUUGUAAAGUCUCUUUUACCUAGGGAUGAUAAUGACAGUA